rnacentral:rRNA from 1 species
CUUGGUGAGUAUAGCUAUGGGGGUACACCUAGUUACAUUCCGAACCGAGAAGUUAAGCCCAUAUACGCUGAUGGUACUUGGCUGGAAGCGGCCUGGGAGAGUAUGGAUUUGCCAAGC